GAUGAACGCUGGCGGCGUGCCUAAUACAUGCAAGUCGAGCGAACAGAUGAGGAGCUUGCUCCUCUGACGUUAGCGGCGGACGGGUGAGUAACACGUGGAUAACCUACCUAUAAGACUGGGAUAACUUCGGGAAACCGGAGCUAAUACCGGAUAAUAUAUUGAACCGCAUGGUUCAAUAGUGAAAGACGGUUUUGCUGUCACUUAUAGAUGGUUCCGCGCCGCAUUAGCUAGUUGGUAAGGUAACGGCUUACCAAGGCAACGAUGCGUAGCCGACCUGAGAGGGUGAUCGGCCACACUGGAACUGAGACACGGUCCAGACUCCUACGGGAGGCAGCAGUGGGGAAUAUUCCGCAAUGGGCGAAAGCCUGACGGAGCAACGCCGCGUGAGUGAAGAAGGUCUUCGGAUCGUAAAACUCUGUUAUUAGGGAAGAACAAAUGUGUAAGUAACUAUGCACGUCUUGACGGUACCUAAUCAGAAAGCCACGGCUAACUACGUG
rnacentral:rRNA from 1 species